UUCUGUAAUUAAUCGCGUAUUUUAACCGUUAUAAUGCAUAACCAGUGCGAAUUUUUGUCGGGAGUGUCGAUUAAAGUAAUGAGCAAUUGUCAGAAUAUAUUCUUAUUGUCGCGGAUGUUCGUGAUUAACGUCGAUGACUGCAUUGUACGUUACGGCUGGCAGUCAAGGUGUCUGUUUAUAUCUAACGAUCUCCGUGUGACUGCCAAGGUUAUCAUUGCUCUCGCUCUCUCCUCGGAUGUUUACAGUGCCGAAUCGACUACCUAAUGUGUAAGGUGAUAAUAAUCGCUACAAUUAUCCAUGCAGACGCAUUGCGGCAUAAAGUUUAUUUUAUUUCGCGUUUGUCUUUCAUACGGUGUGAAAAAUUCGUUACAUGACUCCGUCCUGAUUUUAUCGGCUACACUUAUACAGGCAACCAGGAUUGCCAUCUUAUGUGAAGAUGCAUCAAUUUUAAACUUUGAGUUAUUAAAAAUUGGAGCAACUUCAUAUGGGAAACCAUUUUGUUUGCCGGUGUAUAAUGCCGAGUCAUUGUCGAACGUAUAAGAUGGGAAUUUUUGUCAGGAGUGUCGAUUAAAAUAAUGAGCAAUUGUCAAAAUAUAUUCUUAUUCCUAUUCUUUGCCGCGAAUGUUCGCGAUUAACGUUGAUGACUGCAUUGUACGUUACGGCCGGCAGUCAAGUGAGUAUAGCCUCAAUACAUACAUAUUACAAAGCUGUGAUUAAUAAAGAUGUACACUUUUUAUUAGAUGUAGCAUAUCAAAAUUUAGUUAAAUCUGAUAAAUCUAAUAAUUAUUACAAUUGUGUGCGUUACGAGAUAAAGUGCAUUUUAUUUCGCUGAGUUGAGUUAUGCAUAUCGCGGCGUGAUAAAUUCGCGAUGUGAUUUUGUCUGUGAUAUUCGCAUUUUUGUCGGGAAGUGAAGUGCGCGGAUUGACUUUCAUUCAACAGUGCAUGUCAUGAAAGUACGGAUUUCCUGAAUUCGACGAUUCUUUGAUGGAGCUGAUGCGGAACAAUUCAAGAAAGGAAUCUGCAGCGGAUAGAGUAAACAACAAUAUCCUAGCUAGUAUAGUCGAGGAACAUACUUAGCUAGGGUACAACGACCG